GCAUAUCAAUAAGCGGAGGAAAAGAAACCAACAGGGAUUGCCCUAGUAACGGCGAGUGAAGCGGCAACAGCUCAAAUUUGAAAUCUGGUCUUCGGGCCCGAGUUGUAAUUUGUAGAGGAAGCUUUUGGCGCGGUACCUUCUGAGUCCCCUGGAACGGGGCGCCAUAGAGGGUGAGAGCCCCGUAUAGUUGGAUACCAAGCCUGUGUAAAGCUCCUUCGACGAGUCGAGUAGUUUGGGAAUGCUGCUCAAAAUGGGAGGUAAAUUUCUUCUAAAGCUAAAUACCGGCCAGAGACCGAUAGCGCACAAGUAGAGUGAUCGAAAGAUGAAAAGCACUUUGAAAAGAGGGUUAAAUAGCACGUGAAAUUGUUGAAAGGGAAGCGCUUGUGACCAGACUUGCGCCGGGCUGAUCAUCCGGUGUUCUCACCGGUGCACUCUGCCCGGCUCAGGCCAGCAUCGGUUCUCGCGGGGGGACAAAGGUCCUGGGAACGUAGCUCCUCCGGGAGUGUUAUAGCCCAGGGCGUAAUGCCCCCGCGGGGACCGAGGUUCGCGCUCUGCAAGGAUGCUGGCGUAAUGGUCACCAGCGACCCGUCUUGAAACACGGACCAAGGAGUCAAGGUUUUGCGCGAGUGUUUGGGUGUAAAACCCGCACGCGUAAUGAAAGUGAACGUAGGUGAGAGCUUCGGCGCAUCAUCGACCGAUCCUGAUGUAUUCGGAUGGAUUUGAGUAGGAGCGUUAAGCCUUGGACCCGAAAGAUGGUGAACUAUGCUUGGAUAGGGUGAAGCCAGAGGAAACUCUGGUGGAGGCUCGCAGCGGUUCUGACGUGCAAAUCGAUCGUCAAAUCUGAGCAUGGGGGGCGAAAGACUAAUCGAACCAUCUAGUAGCUGGUUACCGCCGA
rnacentral:rRNA from 1 species